CUGAGGGAAGCUCCCACACCACUCAGCCAGGGCAAUGAUCACCCAUGGCAUUUACCAGCAGUCAUGACGGGGCGACAGCGGAGACCUGCCAUUCUCCUGAACAGUCACCCCACAAGCAUACUUACACGCCAGCAGAGGACCCUACGCUUACCUGCACUGAGCGUGCUCCACUGGAGAUCUCGAGACCCCAAGCGACCAGCUCAUCACAGCGUUAGAUACACCUGGGUACUG